rnacentral:rRNA from 1 species
AGUGACGUGAUACUGUAGAGCUAGAUUAGAUGGCUGUGGGCGAAUGUGUGGUGUAGCGGUGAAUGCUUAGAGAUCACACAGAAUAUCGAUUGCGAGGCAGCUCCACAAAGCCUAAUUGACGCUGAGGCACGAAAGUGUGGGGGAUCGAACAGAUUAGAUACCUGUAGUCCACACUGUAAACGAUGAUAACUCGCUGUCGGCGAUAUACAGUCGGUGGUCCAAGCGAAAGCGAUAAGUUAUCCACUGGGGAGUACGACCGCAAGGUUGAAACUCAAAGGAAUUGACGGGGGCCCGCACAAGCGGAGGAACAUGUGGUUUAAUUCGAUGAUACGCGAGGAACCCUUACCCGGGCUCGAACGGUGCAUGAAUGUCAGAGAGAUUUGACAGUCCUUCGGGACAUGUAUCGAGGUGCUGCAUGGUUGUCGUCAGCUCGUGCCGUGAGGUGUCGGCUUAAGUGCCAUAACGAGCGCAACCCUUGUUGACAGUUACCAUCAGGUAAAGCUGGGGACUCUGUCGAGACUGCCACCGUAAGGUGUGAGGAAGGGGGGGAUGACGUCAAAUCAGCACGGCCCUUAUGUCCGGGGCGACACACGUGUUACAAUGGGAGGUACAGAGGGCAGCUAUCCAGUGAUGGAGUGCAAAUCUCAAAAACCUUUCUCAGUUCGGAUUGGAGUCUGCAACUCGA